ACUUGGGAACGAAGUUAGGGGAAAUAGAAUACGAAUCCCUUGGCUGCCUCCUGUUUGAGAGAAACCAUCGGAGCCCACGAGAAUAACAUAGUAAGCAAAGAGACGACGAACCAAAGAUCUGUGUGUCAGCGAAGUUGAAGAUUUUUACCCCAAAAUUCUGAAUCCCAAAACCCUAACUAAAUCCCGCAUACUAUGGAUGAAGCUCAAGAUAAGCCCGUGUGUGCUCAGGAAGCCCUAGAUCUCCUGAACUGCGUUGCUCAAUCUCCUUUUGAUCAAGACAAAUGCCUCCGUCUUUUGCAUUCUUUACGAGAAUGCGUACUCGCCAAGAGAGUGAAGAAGUUUCCCUGGCUGAACAGGAGCAACAGCAAACAAAGCAGAGCAACAAGAAGGCUUGACUUUUAACUGGUAUAACUGAUUCUUUCCCAUUUUAAAUCUCAUUUCAAGACAGAAAGAUUUGAAGCUAAAAUUUGUACUUGUGGAUUUGAGCCUGAAGUUGAAGUUGAGGUGGACAAACAUUUCGUGUACCGUACUGUUUAAAUUAACUGCUCGUAGUUUAUCCACGUGACAAGAUAUAUACUACUUGCACAAUUUCAUUUGCACACAAUUUACAAUUGCAUGUAACUCUUAUUUUACGCCAGGAUCUUUGUAAAUUUAUUAGUAACCUCAGCUUUCCAUCUGUGAUAAAAAAUCAGUUGAUGAACACAGCAUAGCUAAGUUCUAGCCAACGAGACAAAUAAUGUAGGCUAUCGCUGAGGUGUGAACGAAAAGUUUUGAAGCAGGGAUGUGAAAAUAUUAAGCAUUUUUUGACCGUUUGGUUCAAUU